AUGUCUAAGUACAAACGCUCCAAGCGUGAAACCGCGAACGGCUCAUUAUAACAGCUAUAAUUCACUUGAUCUUGACAAUCCUACUUGGAUAACUGUGGUAAUUCUAGAGCUAAUACAUGCACCCAACCGACGCGCAAGCGCCGGGCAUUUAUUAGAGGAAAACCAAGCGGCCUCGGCCGCCCAGUGUUGACUCAGAAUAACUCAGCUGAUCGCACGGCUCCACGCCGGCGACGUGUCUUUCAAGUAUCUGCCUUAUCAACUUUCGAUGGUAGUGUAUCUGCCUACCAUGGUGGUGACGGGUAACGGAGGAUCAGGGUCCGACUCCGGAGAAGGGGCCUGAGAAAUGGCCACUACGUCUAAGGAUGGCAGCAGGCGCGCAAAUUACCCACUCUCGGCGCGAGGAGGUAGUGACGAGAAAUAACGAGGCGUAGCCCAACGGGCUGCGCCAUCGGAAUGGGUACAACCCAAACCCUUUAACGAGUAUCUAUGAGAGGGCAAGUCUGGUGCCAGCAGCCGCGGUAAUUCCAGCUCUCAAAAUGCAUAGAAUUAUUGCUGCGGUUAAAAAGCUCGUAGUUGGAUCUCUGCCGGGGCGGUGGUCGCUUUUUCGGAAGUGCACCAUCGACCCGGCUCCAGUCGGGCCCCGCAAGGGCGCCCGGCGCUUUACUUUGAACAAAUCAGAGUGCUCAACACAGGCGUCUCGCCUGAAUGUUCGUGCAUGGAAUAAUGGAAGAGGACUUCGGCCCCGUUUCAUUGGUUUUGGAGCCGACGUAAUGGUUAAUAGAGACAAACGGGGGCAUUCGUACCGCUGCGUGAGAGGUGAAAUUCUUGGACCGCAGCGRGACGCACGACAGCGAAAGCAUUUGCCAAGCGUGUCUUCAUUAAUCAAGAACGAAAGUCAGAGGUUCGAAGGCGAUCAGAUACCGCCCUAGUUCUGACCGUAAACGAUGCCAACUAGCGAUCCGGGGGGCGUUUUAUCACCCCCCGGGGAGCUUCCCGGAAACCAAAGUCUUCCGGUUCCGGGGGAAGUAUGGUUGCAAAGCUGAAACUUAAAGGAAUUGACGGAAGGGCACCACCAGGAGUGGAGCCUGCGGCUUAAUUUGACACAACACGGGGAAACUCACCCGGCCCGGACACCGCGAGGAUUGACAGACCGACAGCUCUUUCAUGAUUCGGUGGAUGGUGGUGCAUGGCCGUUCCUAGUUCGUGGAGCGAUUUGUCUGGUUUAUUCCGAUAACGAGCGAGACUCCAGCCUGCUAAAUAGUGCGAGUGUUAUCUGCGCUCCGCACUUCUUAGAGGGAUUUUCGGCGUUCAGCCGCACGACACGGAGCAAUAACAGGUCUGUGAUGCCCUUAGAUGUCCGGGGCUGCACGCGCGCUACACUGGCGAAGGCAGCGUGCCUGUCCUCUCCCGAUGGGGACGGGUAAACCAUUGAAAAUUCGCCGUGAUUGGGAUCGGAGAUUGCAAUUAUUCUCCGUGAACGAGGAAUUCCAAGUAAGUGCGAGUCAUCAGCUCGCGUUGAUUACGUCCCUGCCCUUUGUACACACCGCCCGUCGCUGCCCGGGACUGAGCCAUUUCGAGAAAUCCGGGGACGCGCGUUUUUCGGGAGACUGAUAGACGCGCACAACCGGCUUAAUCGCAGUGGCUUGAACCGGGC
rnacentral:rRNA from 1 species